GCUUACGGCCACACCAGUUUGAGAACUCCCAAUCUCAUCUGACCUUUGAAACUAAGCAAAUUUGGACCUGGAUAGUACUGAGGUGGGACCCUACCUAGGAAUACCAGCUGCUGUAGGCU
ensembl:rRNA 5S_rRNA 5S ribosomal RNA